rnacentral:rRNA from 1 species
CUACGGGUGGCUGCAGUGGGGAAUAUUGCACAAUGGGCGCAAGCCUGAUGCAGCCAUGCCGCGUGUGUGAAGAAGGCCCUAGGGUUGUAAAGCACUUUCAGUGGUGAGGAAGGUAGUACAGUUAAUAGCUGUGCUAUUUGACGUUAGCCACAGAAGAAGCACCGGCUAACUCCGUGCCAGCAGCCGCGGUAAUACGGAGGGUGCGAGCGUUAAUCGGAAUUACUGGGCGUAAAGCGUACGCAGGCGGCGUAGUAAGCCAGAUGUGAAAGCCCCGGGCUCAACCUGGGAAUUGCAGUUGGAACUGCUAUGCUUGAGUCCGGCAGAGGGUGGUAGAAUUUCAGGUGUAGCGGUGAAAUGCGUAGAGAUCUGAAGGAAUACCAAUGGCGAAGGCAACCGCCUGGGCCGAGACUGACGCUCAUGUACGAAAGCGUGGGUAGCAAACAGGAUUAGAUACCCUGGUAGUC